rnacentral:rRNA from 1 species
UACGUAGGGGGCAAGCGUUGUCCGGAUUUACUGGGCGUAAAGCGUGCGUAGGCGGUUUCAUAAGCUUGAUGUGAAAGCCCCGGGCUCAACCUGGGAAUGGCAUUGAGGACUGUGGAGCUAGAGUGCGGCAGAGGGAGGUGGAAUUCCACGUGUAGCAGUGAAAUGCGUAGAGAUGUGGAGGAACACCGAUGGCGAAGGCAGCCUCCUGGGCCGACACUGACGCUGAGGGCACGAAAGCGUGGGGAGCAAACAGG